UUUUAGGUUCGCUUGCAAAGACAAGUCGGAUUAUUGAGGCUUUACCAAAGAGUGCAUAUUGUUUCAUGGGAAUGAGAAGCAGAGAUAUACCAGACUCAGCUAUUACAGCUUCAUCGGUAUACGACGGAAAUCAUGAUGCGUAUGAUGGAAGGCUUGAUAACAGAAAAAAACAGGAGAUGUAGCAGCAUGGACGGUCCGGCAUAAUCGAAAGGGCGAAUGGCUUCAAGUAGACUUCGGAAGACCGAAACUAGUUGGUGGAAUAAUUACCCAAGGAAGACUGUAUGCUAGGGCAUGGGUAACGUCUUUCGCGAUUUCUUGUGGUCUCAGCACUAGUUCUCUGACUACCAUCCAAGAGCAUGGGGCACAAAAGAUAUUUACAGGUAACUCUGA